rnacentral:rRNA from 1 species
AGUGAACGCUGGCGGUAGGCCUAACACAUGCGAGUCGAACGGCAGCACAGUAAGAGCUUGCUCUUACGGGUGGCGAGUGGCGGACGGGUGAGGAAUACAUCGGAAUCUACUUUUUCGUGGGGGAUAACGUAGGGAAACUUACGCUAAUACCGCAUACGACCUACGGGUGAAAGCAGGGGAUCUUCGGACCUUGCGCGAUUGAAUGAGCCGAUGUCGGAUUAGCUAGUUGGCGGGGUAAAGGCCCACCAAGGCGACGAUCCGUAGCUGGUCUGAGAGGAUGAUGACCCACACUGGAACUGAGACCCGGUCCAGACCCCUACGGGAGGCAGCAGUGGGGAAUAUUGGAAAAUGGGCGCAAGCCUGACCCAGCCAUACCGCGGGGGUGAAGAAGGCCUUCGGGUUGUAAAGCCCUUUUGUUGGGAAAGAAAAGCAGCAGGUUAAACCCCCGCUGUUUUGACGGUACCCAAAAAAUAAGCACCGGAUAACUUCGU